UAGGGCGGAAGGAGGUAGGCGGCGCGUGAGGUCCAAGGAGGCGGAGGAGAAUUGAGAAUUGGGAACGGCGAGGAGGGUUAAUGAGUUUCUACCGGAGAGUUCGGCAGCGAUGCCGGAAGAGACGAGGAGGUU
rnacentral:sRNA from 1 species